ACUCGGCGAGUUGGAGCUCAGACUCGCCGAGUAGGGUCGCGAUUCUGGACGCGGGAUUCGUUCGGACUCGGCGAGUCCAGGAUAUGGACUCGGCGAGUCCACGCUGUUUAAUGAAGCCCUAAUUUCUCGGGUUUGGGACCUAUUUAAAUGGCCUUAUGGCCGUCAUUUGCAUCCAUCAGCCCAUAGAGAGGAACCCUAAAAGUGCUUUAGCGAUUUGAGAGUGAAAGGAGGCAUUUCUUGACAUUUGUGUGUUGUUUAGCAAAGAAGAAGGAGGCUCUAGCCAAGAGGAGGCAAAGGGGACUGCUAUUUGGUGGAUUGGAAGCUUGACCCUUCAAUCUAAAGGUAUAAUUUCGACUCAUCUCCUGUUUUGUGAAGUAUAACCGAUUUUAGGGUUUCUUGUGGCCUUGUUGAGUUGAUUUGAUGGCCAAAUAGUCCCAUGCUAGUGAUGAGACUUCGGAUCUGGAUCCAUAGAGGUCCAGAGAGUCUCAUUCUUCAAGCUUUAUAGAGAACAAUGGAGGUCAUGACCUUGUGUAGUGAGAUUUGUUGAAGAUUCUUCAUAAUUAGUCAUAUAGAGGUUGUUAAUGCAUCAAGACUAGGACUUUACGUGAUGAAUCAUUCUAGGAGGGCCAGAUCUAUGAAUUGUUGGAGUAGAUCUGACCUUAGAAGCAAGUUUGAGUGAUUGCAUGGAAUGGACUCGCCGAGUCCGAUGAGCAGACUCGGCGAGUAGCUUGAAGAUUGCCUUGGACCGGCCAGAGAGUGGUCCAGACGAGUCAGGAGUUGACCCAGUGAGUCAGGGCGAGUUAGAGAGGAUUGUCAUGUGGUCUGAGUCGAGCUGGGACUCGCCGAGUCGUUCUUGAGACUCGGCGAGUUGAGUCGGGGUGGUCCCGCGAUUCUUCCAGGUGGAACUCGUCGAGUCAGGGGGAGUACUCGACGUGUAGAAAGGGAAUCCUAGAGAGUUGGUGAGAACGUCUAGACUCGCCGAGUUGCCGCGUGCACUCGCCGAGUCCGGUCAAAGUUGACCGUUGACCGUUGACCGUUGACCUGUGUUGACUUCUUAGGGAUAGUCAACCUUAGAGAUAAAAGUGUUAAUUAGAGUCUUGUGAUGUUAUAGGAGGAUUAGAGCUCGGAGGAUCGAGUACGAGGGAUUUCCAGGGAUCGUGAGAUACUGAGACACGCGAGGUGAGUCUUCUCACUAUACUUUACCUUGAGUAGGUAACCAGAGUCAUGUGAUAGAGUAUGUGUAUGUUAUGUGUAUGCUAUGUGUUGUACUGCAUGAUGUCUAUGUGAUUUAUGUUGUGCAUGCUUAUAGAGUUGGAACCGGAAGGUUCCUAGAGUUAGAACCUGAGGGUUCACAGAGUUGGGUGCACGGACCCAUAGAGUUAUGGCCUCGAGUGGCUAAUAUGUGUUUUAUGUGUGGUAUUUUGGGGAACUCACUAAGCUUUGUGCUUACAGUGUUAGUGUUGUUGUUUCAGGUACUAGCGAUGACCGUGGGAAGGCGCCGGCUUGAUCUGUACACACGUAGAGGAAUUCGAUAUAAUUAUGUGAUCUUGGGAUUUGUAUGAUACAUAUUGGAAUUUGAAAUUUGAUGUUUUAUGAAAUUAAGAGAGAAAUGCUUUUAUAAAUUGUGAAAAAUAAAUUUUAAAAUUUUCAGUGUUACAAAUUGGUAUCAGAGCCUUGGUUUGAGGGAUUCGAGUACACCUUCGGGCGUAUUUGAACUCAAACUGAGGAUUUGAGAUGUAUUUUCAAAAAGAGUAAAAGAUUUUCGAAAAACGCAGAGCAAGAGAUGUGUGUACGAUCAGUCAGCGCCCGAACGGUGAUUUCCCAAAAUACCUUUAUAUAUUAUGUGAUAUUGAUAUUGAUAUGAUGUAUCCGCAUGCUAGAGUAGGCUAGGUAUUGCUAUUAGGACUAGAGUGGCCUGAUGUGUGAUGCCUUAGCCUAGAGAGAGGUGAGCUGCUAUGAGAUGCUUGAGAGUGAGUAGGUAGCAGCAAGGGACUUAUGAGAAAUCUAUUAGAGAGUAGUCUAUGCAUGAUAAAGUACUUGAGACCUGGGAUCCAAAGAGAAGGACUUGGAGUGUAUUCUGGUGCGGUGCGGACAGUAGUAUUGGGCCCGUACUACUGGAAGCACCGGAGCAGUGUGCAGCCUAAGUCAGAAUCUUUGGAAUGCCAAGAAUCAAGGAGAAAAGAGUUGUCGAGUGUGAGCAUACUCGUGUGGAUUCUAAUUUAUCGUAUGUUGUAUUUCAGAGGUAGAUCAUGGUGAGGACACGUUUGAUGCCCGAGAGCAGUGGUACCAGUGAGGAGGAGAUCCGCCGGAUCAUUCAGGAGGAGGUGGCUGCGGCCAUCAGGGCAGAGAUACCGGAGAUGUUUGGGUCUAUAAAGACCACCUUGAUUGAGACGUUUGAUGAGCGUUAUGCCGCUCUUUCUGAGGCUGCUGCUGCAGCGGCUACCGCAGCGAUUGCUGCUGCGAGGCCGCAGGGUGGGGAUGCGUUGCUGUUCCGUGAGUUCAGCAACACAAAACCACCAGAGUUUGAUGGUACUCAGGAUCCGGUGGCAGCUAUGAGGUGGAUAUCUGAUAUUGAGGGGUGUUUCUUCACUUGCUCGUCUCCUGAGCAUUUGAAGGUACGGUUCGCGCUGAACCAGCUUCGCUUGGGAGCGAAGGACUGGUGGAAGUUUGUGACAGCGCAUUAUUCGCCUGCUGAGCUUUCUGCGGUGACCUGGGAGAGGUUCACCACUAUGUUUCGGGAUGAGUACGUUCCCCAGGUGGAGAGGGAGCGUUUAGCACAGGAGUUUCUGACCCUCAAGCAGGGUACUGAGUCUGUUACAGCGAUCACGAGGAUGUUCCACGAGAGGGCGAUGUUCUGCCCUGAGCACGUGUCCACUGAGCAGGCACGUAUGAGCCGCUACUUGAGCAUCUUGAGGAGGGAUAUUCGGGAGUUCGCUGCGAACUCCUCGUACCGGACAUUUGCCGAGCUUCAGGCAAAUGCCCGGAAGAGGGAGAUUGAGCUUGAGACCCAGGCCAGGGAGGAGGCAGAGUCUCAGGGGAGGGAUCGGCGACCGGCGUUGUCGCAGCCGGCCGCCAAGCGGGCCAAGCCUGCUGAUCCCAGACCAGGGAGCCAGAAGGGCCGCACUUGCGGAAAGUGCGGCAAGGGUCAUGACGGAGUCUGCCGAGCAGGGUCUUGCUACAAAUGUGGCAAGGAGGGGCACAUGGCCAAGGACUGCCCCAAGGGGUUUGCAGUGUGCUUUCACUGCAACCAGACCGGACACCGGAAGGCCGAGUGUCCGCAGUUGCGCGGAGCAUCUCAGGGGUCUGCUCCUGCCGCCACCAGAGUUACAGAGAGUCGGCCUGUGAAGGCCGAGACGCCGAGAGCUCGAGGGAGAGCCUUCCAGCUGACUGCGGAGGAGGUCCGCGCUGCGCCCGAUGUUGUGGCUGGUAUGUUUCCUUUCGUGUAUUUAUUUUGACAUAUGAUGUUAUGCUUAUAUUAUGUUAUGUGUAGGUACUUUUCUUGUGAAUUCCGUACCUGCUUUAGUGUUAUUUGACUCGGGUGCGAGUCGGUCUUUUGUAUCUUUGGCCUUUAGCCAGCAUAUCAGUGCUAGUCGUGAGGCACUGAGUCGGCCUCUGAGAGUCUCCAUAGCUGAUGAUAGAGUGAUUUGUGCCACAGAGGUUUUCCGGGGAUGUGUGUUAGAGAUCUUCGGGAUUGAGUUUCCGAUUGAUCUGAUUCCUAUUGCGAUGGGUGAUGUUUGUGUCAUUGUGGGCAUGGACUGGUUGAGCCGAUUCGGCGCGAUUAUCGACUGUGAGCGUCAGCUGGUGACUAUACGAGACCCUAGUGGGGGAGUUCUUUCGGUGUACGGUGAGGGUACACGUUCGGGAUCAGCCUUUUGUUCGGCCGCCAGGGCGAGGCAGUGUCUACAGCAGGGCUGUAAGGGUUUUGUGGCGUAUGUGAUGGAUACGCGAGCGACUUCCGAGAGACCGAGUUCAGUUGGGGAGGUACCGGUGGUAUGUGAGUUUCCAGAUGUCUUUCCCGAGGAGCUGCCGGGAGUACCUCCUGUGAGGCAAGUAGAGUUUGGUAUUGAUUUGGUUCCGGGGGCUGCGCCUAUAGCUAAGGUGCCUUAUCGUCUUGCACCUCCAGAGAUGCAAGAGUUAUCCUCGCAGCUUCAGGAGUUGCUGGGGAAGGGAUUUAUUCGGCCGAGCAGCUCGCCGUGGGGAGCACCUAUUCUGUUCGUCAAGAAGAAGGAUGGUUCACACCGGAUGUGUAUUGAUUACCGGGAGUUGAACAAGCUGACGGUCAAGAACCGUUACCCGUUGCCGAGGAUCGACGAUUUAUUUGAUCAGUUGCAGGGAGCAUCUUGGUUUUCCAAGAUCGAUUUGAGGUCGGGAUAUCAUCAGGUGAGGGUGCGAGACGGGGACGUCCAGAAGACAGCUUUCAGGACGCGUUAUGGGCAUUAUGAGUUUGUGGUGAUGCCUUUUGGGCUCACCAAUGCCCCGGCGGUGUUCAUGGAUCUCAUGAACAGGGUAUGUAGGCCGAUGUUGGAUCGGUCGGUGAUUGUAUUUAUCGAUGAUAUUCUGGUGUAUUCGAGAUCUAGGGAGCAGCAUGAGGAACAUUUGAGGGAGGUCCUUGGGGUACUGAGAUCGGAGAAGCUUUAUGCAAAGUUCUCCAAGUGUGAUUUCUGGUUACGGGAGGUCCAGUUCCUAGGACAUCUCGUUAACCAGGAAGGGAUUCUGGUCGAUCCGGCCAAGGUUGAGGCGGUGAUGGGUUGGGAGGUGCCAAAGUCACCCUCUGAGAUCAGGAGCUUCCUUGGAUUAGCAGGGUAUUAUCGGAGAUUUAUCAAGGAUUUCUCCAAGAUCGCAGUGCCGCUCACCAGGUUGACCCGGAAGGGUGUUGCAUUCUCAUGGGGUCCCGAGCAGCAGACCUCCUUUGAGACACUUCGCCAGAGGUUGUGCGAAGCCCCGGUAUUAGCUCUCCCGGAAGGGAUGGAGGAUUUUGUAGUAUAUUGUGAUGCAUCGAUUUUGGGGUUGGGUGCGGUGUUGAUGCAGAGGGGUCAUGUGAUAGCAUAUGCAUCGAGGCAGCUGAAGCCUCAUGAGACGAGAUAUCCCACGCAUGAUCUAGAGUUGGGGGCAGUAGUGUUCGCCCUCAAGAUUUGGCGCCACUACUUAUAUGGGGUUCGAUGUACGAUAUACACGGACCAUAAGAGCUUGAAGUACUUGAUGGAUCAGCCCAAUCUAAACAUGCGUCAGAGGAGGUGGUUAGAUGUGGUCAAGGAUUAUGAUUGUGAGAUCCUGUACCACCCGGGCAAGGCCAACGUGGUGGCCGAUGCGUUGAGCCGCAGGGCGGAGAGCACUCCAUUGCGAGAUGUAUGUUUGAGAUUGACCAUGAUAGCUCCGGUAUUGGAUGCCAUUCGUGGGGCACAGGCCGAGGCUGUGCAGCCGGAGAUGCAGAAGAGGGAACGGGUCGUUGGUUUGGUUUCAGAAUUCGUUACGGAUGGGCGAGGGCUUAUGACUUUUCAGGGUCGGAUUUGGGUACCGUUCGUGGGUGGUACGCGCACUUCCUUGAUGGAGGAGGCUCAUCGGUCGAAAUUUUCGAUCCAUCCGGGGGCUACGAAGAUGUAUUUGGAUUUGAGGAGAGAGUAUUGGUGGCCCUGUAUGAAGAGGGACGUCGCAUGGUUCGUUGAGAGGUGCUUGACCUGUCGUAGGGUUAAGGCCGAGCACCAGAGACCACAUGGCAAGUUGCAGCCAUUGGAGGUUCCCGAAUGGAAAUGGGAACAGAUCACUAUGGAUUUCAUCACCAAAUUGCCGAGAACUGCCAGGGGAGUUGAUGCAAUUUGGGUGAUUGUGGAUAGGUUGACGAAGAGCGCUCACUUCCUUGCCAUCAGUGAGAGUUCUUCAGCAGAGAAGUUGGCAGAGUUAUAUGUGAGAGAAGUGGUAUCUCGGCAUGGGGUGCCGAUCUCGAUUGUUUCAGACCGUGAUGUGCGCUUUACUUCCAGAUUCUGGAAGAAAUUUCAUGAGGAGUUGGGUACUAGAUUGCAUUUUAGUACCGCAUAUCAUCCCCAGACAGACGGUCAGAGUGAGCGGACGAUUCAGACGCUUGAGGACAUGCUUCGAGCAUGUGUGUUGGAUUUUGGGGGUAGCUGGGAUGCGUAUCUACCCUUGGCAGAGUUUUCCUACAACAACAGCCAUCAUUCGAGCAUUGGUAUGCCACCCUUUGAGCUGUUGUAUGGUAGGAGGUGUCGGACCCCCAUUUGCUGGGGAGAGGUCGGGCAGAGAGUGAUGGGCAGUACCGAGAUCGUGCUUCAGACGACAGAGCAGAUUCAGCAGGUCAGACAGAGGUUGUUGACCGCCCAGAGUCGACAGAAGAGUUAUGCAGACAGACGCCGGUCCGAGCUUGAGUUUCAGGUCGGCGACUUCGUUCUCCUGAAGGUCUCUCCUUGGAAAGGAGUGAUUCGAUUCAGGAAGAGGGGCAAGUUGGGGCCCCGGUAUAUUGGGCCAUUUCGCGUGAUUGCGAGGGUAGGCCGGGUAGCCUAUCGUUUGGAAUUGCCAGCAGAGUUGGGGCAAAUCCACGACACUUUUCAUGUGUCGCAAUUGAGGAAAUGUAUUGCCGAUGAGUCGGCAGUAGUUCCAUUAGAGGAUAUUCAGGUGGAUGCGAGCCUGAAUUAUGCCGAGAGACCAGUAGCCAUCAGAGAUCGGAAGAUCAAGGUUCUGAGGAACAAGGAGGUACCUUUGGUGUUGGUUCAGUGGCAACACCGGAAGGGAUCAGAGAUGACCUGGGAGCCGGAGCGCGAGAUGCGGGCUCAGCAUCCGGAGCUAUUUUAGAGCGAGACUUCGAGGGCGAAGUCUAAUCCUAGUGGGGGAGAAUUGUAACAGCCCGGAUCUCCAGGUAUUUUAUUGUUUUAAUAUUUUGAGUUUUGAGAAGGGACUCGGCGAGUUGGAGCUCAGACUCGCCGAGUAGGGUCGCGAUUCUGGACGCGGGAUUCGUUCGGACUCGGCGAGUCCAGGAUAUGGACUCGGCGAGUCCACGCUGUUUAAUGAAACCCUAAUUUCUCGGGUUUGGGACCUAUUUAAAUGGCCUUAUGGCCGUCAUUUGCAUCCAUCAGUCCAUAGAGAGAAACCCUAAAAGUGCUUUAGCGAUUUGAGAGUGAAAGGAGGCAUUUCUUGACAUUUGUGUGUUGUUUAGCAAAGAAGAAGGAGGCUCUAGCCAAGAGGAGGCAAAGGGGACUGCUAUUUGGUGGAUUGGAAGCUUGACCCUUCAAUCUAAAGGUAUAAUUUCGACUCAUCUCCUGUUUUGUGAAGUAUAACCGAUUUUAGGGUUUCUUGUGGCCUUGUUGAGUUGAUUUGAUGGCCAAAUAGUCCCAUGCUAGUGAUGAGACUUCGGAUCUGGAUCCAUAGAGGUCCAGAGAGUCUCAUUCUUCAAGCUUUAUAGAGAACAAUGGAGGUCAUGACCUUGUGUAGUGAGAUUUGUUGAAGAUUCUUCAUAAUUAGUCAUAUAGAGGUUGUUAAUGCAUCAAGACUAGGACUUUACGUGAUGAAUCAGUCUAGGAGGGCCAGAUCUAUGAAUUGUUGGAGUAGAUCUGACCUUAGAAGCAAGUUUGAGUGAUUGCAUGGAAUGGACUCGCCGAGUCCGAUGAGCAGACUCGGCGAGUAGCUUGAAGAUUGCCUUGGACCGGCCAGAGAGUGGUCCAGACGAGUCAGGAGUUGACCCAGUGAGUCAGGGCGAGUUAGAGAGGAUUGUCAUGUGGUCUGAGUCGAGCUGGGACUCG
rnacentral:lncRNA from 1 species